UUGAAGUUCAAUUUUGAUAGUUCUUAGACUUUUCUAUCGACAACUCAGCUAUCCACAGACACGGAUGUCUGUGGAAGUUCGAUAUAGGACAGGACGUCCCGUAUCGAACGGUAGCGGCAGGCUGCCAUAACAUAUAUGAAAAGUCUUAGAAAUAUCAAAUUGAAGCUUCU
rfam:Eubacterium sp. CAG:252 genomic scaffold, scf144